AAACACUUAGUGUUAUAGAAAUAAUGUUCCAGCAUAAUAUUUUAAGCAUUCUGUGUUACGGCCAAUAUUUUAUAUCAACAAUUCAGUUUAACUUUAAUACGGAAAACGAAACAAUACUUGAUGGACAAAGUUUUAUUAAAAAUAUUAUUAAUGGGAAAGUAUCAUAUGCUAUCAGUGAUAUUGAUCUCUGGUACUUUGGCGAAUGUAUCUCUUAGAAGAGGGGUGUCCAUGACAACAGUAGGAGUAACAGGAAGCGGUUUUAUUCGUAGACAUGGAAGUAAUAUGGAUUUAAAUGCUGAUCUUCAAGAAUGCAAGUGUCCACCAAAUAAUGAGUGCAAAAUAGAAUAUAAAUUAGACACAAAUGUCUUACAUCUUCAACAUCUACGUGGUAUAAUAGAGGAUCAUGAUCUCCGAAGGUUUUAUAAAGAAAACAACAACUCAAUCGUUGUGAGACGAAGACGCAAUAGUGGUAAUACGUGUUGCUGUCCAAUGAUAGUGGCAAAAGUACCAGCUUUUAUAACGGAAAAAAGGUUUAAGGAUGUCAUAAAACGUUUUGAAAAUAAUAAAAUCUCUUAGUCUAGAUUAAUUAAUUCUUUUAUUAAAUAUAUUGUGUAGACAAAAGCCGAAA